rnacentral:lncRNA from 1 species
UCAAACUGAUGUUGAGAGAUUCAAGUUGAUUGGGGAAUUGGAAAGGCCAUUGAGACACGAGCUUGCAUUUCAAUUUGCGGAGAUUGGGAGCACAUCCCAAAACUUUUGCAUCUAUUUCAUUAUGAAUAAGAAGUGUAGAAAUAGAUUGUAGGUUAUUUAUUUGGAAGCUUCCAUCCGUAGUUGCUCUUAAAUGAGAAGAUUCACUGAAGCGUGCACCACCUCCAAAAUGCAGACGUUUCAAAUACUUCAUGUUAAGAACAAAAUCAGGUAUUUCAACUUCAUCUCUGUUCUCCACCUGAAGAUAUUCUAGUCUGUGGAGUUUUUCUAUUAAUGGCAGUUUAAGUUUUUCUUGAACUUUCAAGUACCUCAAGUGAACCAAGUUUUCAAUUCCUUCAUGUACAUCUUUAAAUGAAUACCAGCUCAAUGAAUACCAAUAUGGUCCUGACAAAUCCAUGACCCUGCGGCCUAACUGAGAGUGAACAUAUGGAUCAAAUGGUCUUAGGAAACAAAGACGCUGCAUAUCCAAGAUACUCUUAUCUUUCUUGCACUUCGAAUAUCCGCUGAAGAACCAAUGUGGCGACAACAAAAUCACAUCCAAUCAUCAUCAGAAGCAAAAACAUCGUUAGUGUGACCAUCAAAGUUAGUUACAUUAUCAAUAAUCUAGAUAGAAAUAGAAGAAAGUGAACAAGGAAAGAACAGAGACAAAGAACUUACUUUUCGAUCCCUCCCAUAAAGUUUUCUUCUUUGGCUAUCCUCAAGCAUAAAUCAUGCAGUAGAUCAUGAAUCGUGCAAGCUUUGACUCCACCAUUUGAUCUUUCUUCAGCAACUAGUACCAGACCCCUAUUAAUUAGAUCCAUUAGAUAAUCGAGUGCCACAUCCUCUGAGCUCCUGUGGGUUUCUUUGUUUAUAAACCCUUCGGCAACCCACAGAGAUAUCAACUUCUGUACUGGGAUUUUUUCAUCUUCUUCAAAUACUCCAAAAUAUAGAAAACAUGGUUUCAAAUGAACUGAUAAAUGCUGGUAACUAAGUUUCAGUAUAUGGACGCAAUUAUUUGUGCUGUCAAAUAUGUGUGCAUUUAAAUGUCGCGCUAUUUCUCCCCAUGAGCUCUCUUUCUUCUGCAUAUUUGCAAGAAUGGAAGAUAUCAUAAUGACUGACAUCGGUAGACCGUGACAUCUUGAGGCAAUAUGCUGACCAAUCCCUUGCAAUUCUGGAGGGCAAGGUUCUGUUUGGAACACUUUCCGCUGUAAUAAUUCCCAACAUUCAGCACCUGAUAGGAACGGAAGUUCAUUAACAACAUUAUCGAAACCCAAUUCUUUGUUCCGAGAUGUGAAUAAGAUUCUACUUCCUGUUAUAUCAUCUGGAAAAUAUCUUCGCAGAUCAUCCCACGUUCUAGUGUCCCAUACAUCAUCCAGGACAAUGAGGUAUCUCAUUCCUUUUAAACUUUUGUAAAGCAUUUCAGCCAAAUCUUCUUCCUCCAUUUCCGUGAUUGUUUCUCUAUUAUGGUUUCUUGUCGAUGUCAAAAUGUCAAUCAAUACAUUUUUCUUCUUAUAUGUUUGAGAAAGCACACACCAAGCACAUUUGUCGAAAUAAUAGACAAUGGAAGGAUCAUUGAACAAUUUCUUUGCUAAAGUAGUCUUACCAAGUCCAGGCAUUCCAACAAUGGAAAUAAUUUGUUGCUUUAGUGGUCCACUGGUGAGUUGAUCAGCAAUUUUGGUUUUCUCAUCGUUGAAACCCACAAAAUCGUCUUCCAAAUUUUUAAGUUCUUUAGCUUGAGGCUGUAUUUGCUCACAUGGAUAUUCUCCUUCUGGUAUUCCAGCGUCAAUACUACCGCUCUUCUUUUCUUGUAUUGCCUUCUUAAAAAGAUGAAUCUUCUCCAGGAGUUGAGAGAGCCUAAGGGUGAGAUACCAGACAGGAGUAACCGAGUUGAUAACAUAUGAAAUUUCAUAUGCUAAGUCUCUGGUUUUCAUCGCAAGUUCCUCAAGUUGUAAGUGCCGCGCCACAUCUAUAUAAUUGAGGGUGGAUCUCAACAACGAUAUCUCCUCGGCGAGCAUUAUGAUUUGAUCCUUCACGGGGACGAUCCUGUCAGCCUCAUAAUUGAUCAGGUCCUCAAGAUCAUCGAGGAGAGAAUCCACAGCGAAGAACGAAAUCACCCUACUCUUUGUAGCGUCACAACCUGGUAAAUUUGGGACAGUGAUGCAGUGCUCCUCGAUCCUUUUUUUCAAGAGCUCAAACUUUUUUAAGAAAUCAGAAAGAGAAAGACUUAAUCUUACAGUCUCCAGGACUCUAUCAUCCCUUGUUGAAAAUAAUGAAUAUAAGAAGUUUCCAACCUCAUUGACUACAACUUCGAUAUCUGACAAUAUAAUCUUGGUUACGUCCACCUCAGUGCGUAACGGUGCAUCUCCAAGAAAGCUGAUAAGAAAUCCAAGUUCUGUCUGGAGGUUUUGGAUUGAACCCUUGACUGGAACAAUGAAAUCUGGUUCAAGACGCAUUAUUUCUUCUAAAAGUUGGAGGAUAAAGUCGAUAAACACCAUAACAAGUUCAUUAGGAUGGGGAGUAGGAGUAAUCUUGGACAUUCGCUGCUUUGGGAUUGUGAAGACGACCCUCAGAUCUUGCACAAGUGACAUCAGCAACUCAAAGAAUUUUCUGCGUCCUUUGGAUUGUAUAGACCCGCAAUAUUUUUGUAGUAAACGAAUUUCAUGGGCAUAACUGAAGCACAGUUUUCCCGAAUACUCAAUGGCAAUUGGAACAAGUCCUCUCUGUCCAACAAAUGUUUCGAAAUUUUCAUCUCCUUCGAGUGAAUUUUCGAUGCGAUUACUGAAUUUUCUAUCUCCAAGAAUUUCUCUGAGAAAUUUUGGACAGUGAAAUUCUGGAGAGGGAUCCAUCUUUCUUCCUCACUUUCCACCUUUUCUUCAACUUUUCAGGUUUCUUUCAAUUUCUUAGUAUGAAUCAGUGUCUCUUUACGGAAAAUACGGGGGAUGGACGAAUUGCAGGGGAAGAUGUAUGUAUGAUUGCAUUCUACUACAGAAAAUAUAUUUAAUAACAAAAGUCCAAUCUUCAUUACAAACUCUAAACUAAAAUAUUGAAUUCACUGUUUCUCAUAGGAUUAAUAAUUAUAGAAUUUAAGUCGCCCGAGGCAUAGCUCAGUGGUGCAAAGGAUAGGAAUGAUAUUAUCUCACGCCUUACUGACAGCCGCAAUGUGGGGGUUCGAUUCCUGAGACAUGGAAUUGGACUCCUUGUAGGCGCAGUGUAUAGGCAACUCUUGUUCCCUGGCCUGUUGGGACACAUCCUGCGAUUUACCUCCCUCACAAAGCUCUAGGGAAGGGACUGUGGGGGCUCUCAAGAUUGGGUUCAACCUUUUUAAUAAUUAUAGAAUUUAAAUAUAGAAUUGCCGACAACUAGAGACAGCGAUGAUUGAAUUAAAGUGAAAUUAAAGAAAAGCAGAGUUCAAAUGAGGGAAUCUUCCAAUGUUCACAUCAUGCGGUAUAUGGGUGUAAUAAGUGAUUUCUAUAAGCCAUUUUUUUUUAAAUAAUAGAAAUAAAUCAAUAAACUAUAUGGAGGAGGAAAAACAAACACAAAAAUUUAUGUGAACACAUGGGUUUUCAACUUCCACAUUCAAUAAUUAGGUUUAAACUUAUUUAUUCAAAAAUCAUGUCAUAAGUCAAUUUUUUUAUAUUAACAAUAAUAUUAUUAAACCUCUGUUUGCAUCCCAUUUUAGGCCUAUUUUUAGACAAUUUCCGAUUGUUGCACGGUAAUUUUUUGCAUUCAAUUUCUACUGUUUCUGGCAAAGAAAUGACUGCAGCCUGUCAAAAAAAUUCUUUUGACUUUUAGCUUUCCCUUUUGUUGCCCCUAACACUCCCAAUUAGUAAAUCAAGUCAAACAAGGAAAUGACGGUAAAAUUGGAAAUUUGAUUUUUAUAUACCAAGAAAAUAUCUACAGCGUGUGGACCCUCAAAUGUUUAAUUAAUGGCUCCCUCUCUCUCUCUCUCUCUCUCUCUCUCUCUUACAGUAAUCAUUUUGUUGGGCAAACCUAUACUUGUCCGUAUUCUUCUAAAAUGAAAGGUAUCUAAUACUAAAUACUAAACACAAGACUCAAAUAUAAUUAAAAAAUUAUUUUGAUAGAAUUUAGAGAGAGAAUGAAUUAAAAAUCAAUUAUUUGAAAUUAAUUUGAAAUGAAGAAAAUGCAAUUAACGUGUCAAUUCGUAUGGUCGAAUCUUUCGAGGAGAUCACUCAAUUUUGAAUAAUUCCGAAGUGCCCGAAAAUGGGUGAUCGAAUGGGUAACCGAUCUUCACAUGAAACGUGGACCUCGCGUGAAUAAAAUAAUGCCCGAUCCCUGAGAUGUGAGUAUUCGGUCAUAACGCAUGUCAAUCAUUAUGUUUGUGUAGCAUGGCCUCUCAAUUUUCUAUCUUCCAAAAUUUCUCUGAGGAUUUCUACAGGGGGGUCCAUCUUUCUUCCUCACUUUCCAAAUUUUCUUCAAUUUUUGAGAUUUAAAACUUUUGGCAUUUUUAUUAUCAGGGAUGACACCUAGAAUAGAAUCAGAUAUCGAUCGCUUAAUGAUUUUCAAACAGAGUUUGUUAGCCCUUUUUCAUUUUUCAUGUUCGGCUACAUAUUCAACGGUAUUUUUAUCUGUGGGUCUCUCAAGAUUUUUCUCCAUUGCAAAAUUCAAGCCCAAAAGACCAAGUGCUAUUUCUACGUCUCGUUUCCAUCUCACAUAGUUAUUCCCAGUCAAUGUUUCAAUAGUAGACAAUUGAUUCGAAAGAGAUAAGACAUUAUAAACUGUGGAAACAUAAAAUAUCACACUCAAUAUCAUCCAAACAUAAUGCAUGCAAUCAAAUGGAUGAUAUAAUAUCCAACUAAUUAAUAUGGGCUAUUAAUUAGAUAAUCUGUAAUUUAAAUCGAAACAUAUGAAUUUUAUUACGGUAAGAGCCUAGGUGCAUCAUCAUAAAGUCACCUUUGGAUUGACAAUACAACAUGCUAUAAGGUACUCUUAAAAUUUAUCAUGCA